AGAAUAUAUAAAUUGUAUUUUUAAGAUAAUUGGAUUGGAAAUCGAAGUCCCGAAAUCUAAUGGCCAACACGUAGUCCAGACAUGGCACCCAUGGAUUUUUUUCUCUGGAGAUAUGUGAAAAAUGCUGUUAAUGAAAAAAUGUCAUCUAGUAAAAAUGAUCUAAAAAAAUUAACGAAGUUUGUUCAAAUAUACUACCUAACAUUUAAAAGAAAUGUACGAACGAAAAUGUUUUAAAACGCAUGG